UACAAGGUGGUAUCAGUUGGUAGAGCAUGAGACUUUAAAUCUCAAGGUCGUGAGUUCGAGCCCCACGCUGGGUCA